GACGAACGCUGGCGGCGCGCUUAACACAUGCAAGUCGAGCGAGAACCGGUCCUUCGGGACCGGGGAAAGCGGCAAACGGGUGAGUAACACGUGAGUAAUCCACCCUCGGCACCGGGAUAGCCCGGGGAAACUCGGAUUAAUACCGGAUGGCCCAGCAGCUCUUCGGGGCGGCUGGAAAAGGUAGCUUCGGCCUCCGGCCGAGGACGAGCUCGCGGCGGAUUAGCUUGUUGGUGGGGUAAUGGCCUACCAAGGCGACGAUCCGUAGCUGGUCUGAGAGGACGAUCAGCCACACUGGGACUGAGACACGGCCCAGACUCCUACGGGAGGCAGCAGUGGGGAAUCUUGCGCAAUGGGCGAAAGCCUGACGCAGCGACGCCGCGUGAGGGAAGAAGGCUUCCGGGUUGUAAACCUCUUUCAGGAGGGACGAAGCUACUCGGGUGAAUAGCCCAGAGGGUGACGGUACCUCCAGAAGAAGCCCCGGCUAACUACGUGCCAGCCGCCGCGGUAAAAC
rnacentral:rRNA from 1 species